rnacentral:tRNA from 1 species
GGCUCGUUGGUCUAGGGAUAUGAUUCUCGCUUUGAGUGCAGAGGUCCCGGGUUCAAGUCCCGAAAUCCCGGGCGAGCCC